rnacentral:tRNA from 2 species
GGGAGUGUGGCGGAAUUGGUAGACGCACCAGACUUAAAAUCUGUUGGCCGCUUUUUGGCCGUGGGGGUUCAAGUCCCCCCACUCCCA